UGCAGCUGUUGACUGGAAUUCAGAGGCUGCCAAGGUCUGUCCUGGUGUCACGUCCACUGGAGCCAGAGGAUGCAGCCCCAUCUUGCUGGCCUCUAGAAACGGCAUGAGGACCGCUGCAGUCACCAAUCACCUCAGCUGUGGUUGUCAGCAUAAGACCUGCGCAAGACCAAGCCAGCCAGCAUUCCAGCGUGGAGCGGGACAGGACCCGUGAGCCCCUACCUCUAACUGAGAAGCUAUCGACAGUACAUGGGUUCUGGGGUAGAGAGAGCCAGUUUUCUCCAAGGAUGUAGCCCCAGGUACGACAUAAAAGGCUGCUUCAUAGCAGGUGACUAUGAUUUGCCUUGUGCUCCAGCAGGGAUGUGGUUUUACCAGCUGCACAUAGUUUCUUCAAGUGGCAGGUAGACAAGAGUGUUAGGAGGCAGAUUAGAGGGACAUACCUCUUUCUGGAUCACUGGGAGCAUACAUUGUCAGAGAGCACUGUUAAACAUGGUUGGAGCACGGCUCAUGUCAACGGCCUUUCCCUUAUACCUGGCAGCCACCAGCAGGGAGCCAUGAGCAAGCGCACCCUAUAUUGACUACCAGCCAAAUUGCCCUCGUGACACCCAGGCUGCUGUGGACACUCUAGAGUCACUUUGGGGUCACUUCUGCAGCUGCAGAAGACCACCACUCCCUCUGCUGAAGACACACUUCAGACAGAGUAGCCUUGGAAACAGCAUUCAAAGCAAGAUGGGCCUCAGAAAAGUCUAAAUGGCCAUUUCACCCUGGCCAGAGGAGGGGCCCUUUCCCUAGUGACCCAGCAAAGGCCUCUGACUGGUGCAAACACAGUCCUUCAUUUGCAUGAGGGAUUGCAUGUGCCAUGGUUGGCACCAACGCCUUGCCACACCCUCUUCUGGCUCUAUAAGCAGGCCAUUCACUCUUGUAGCCGGCCAGGAAACACUCUCUUUUGCAUACCCUGAUGUACAAUUUUAGGCCUAAUAAAAGGUUUGUCUAGGGGGCUGGAGAGAUGGCUCAGCAGUUAAGAGUGCCGACUGCUCUUCUGAAGGUCGUGGGUUCAAAUCC